rnacentral:rRNA from 1 species
UACAGAGGUCUCAAGCGUUGUUCGGAUUCAUUGGGCGUAAAGGGCGCGUAGGCGGCGGGGUAAGUCGGGUGUGAAAUCUCAGAGCUCAACUCUGAAAUGGCACUUGAUACUGCUCUGCUAGAGGACUGGAGAGGAGAUUGGAAUUCACGGUGUAGCGGUGAAAUGUGUAGAGAUCGGGAGGAACACCGGUGGCGAAGGCGGGUCUCUGGGCAAUUCCUGACGCUGAGGCGCGAAAGCGUGGGGAGCAAACGGG